CUCUCUGAAUUUAUAAUAAUAUUCAGAUUAAUCCUCACACACGCGGGUGUGCGGCGGUUUACCUGCAGGUCCGUCUUGGUGAGCGACGCCCCGGCCUCCACCAGCAGGUGACAGAUGCUCCUCUGACAGUAGGUGGCAGCCUUGUGCAGCGCCGUGUCACCACUGAAACACAAAACACACGGACGUGGCGUUCAGGUGUCGUGGAGAAAAACGGGAAAGAAAGAAAAAAAAGUGGACUCACGUCUCUUUCUCCGUCACGUCCAGGUGAGACGUCGGGACUAAACGGAACGAGACGACAACAACAAAAGCCUCUCCUGUGACGUCAUGCGUGUCUUACCGUUGUCCACGAGGUAACUGACGAUGUCUUCGCUGCCGACCUGCACGGCGUGAUGGAGCAGCGUGCAGCCGCUGCUGUCCUGCAGGAGGAGGUCUGCCCCCUGCUGGUGGAGCGUCAUCAGCUGCACAACAACACACACACACACACACACCAGAGAGUGAGCGCGGUCACAUUGAGAGCAGGGCUUCAAACAGAAGACACUCACUGUGUGCAGGUCGUCACUGUGGACGCAGCCAAUCAACUGGUCCACUGAAAGACGAGCAGACAUGUGGACGUUAAAGGGACAGUUCAGUUACACAUCAUCACACAACUGUAAACACUACACAAAAACCACUCACUCUCCCACACCAAAGUCCAUAGAGUCAGUGAUUUUAAAGUCACACACACACACACAGGAGUUGUUGAUCCACUGCUGCCUCCAUCACUCAGUUCUAAUGUCUUAUUUUGAAAUCCUUUGUUCAGAUUUACUUCAGUGACACAAAGUGACCACACGAGGCAGCAGAGGACCAGCAGCUCCUGUGUCCCUGUGAGCUAAAACCACUGAUUUUCUCUCUGGACUUUGGUGCGGGAGAGUGAGCAGCUCACUACCUUCAGCUUUCUUUCCUAGUUUCUAUCGGUCUGUCAGUGUGGAGUCCUUUACCUUUGUCGGGGUCAUGUGACGCAGCCGAGGAAGGACUGUUGGAGACGAGCAGAAGGUCAGAGCUGUACCUGGUCCACGCUGUCCUGCAGACGGUCGAUGAGCAGGCGGCAGGUCUCCAGGUCGCUGUCUCCGGGGACGGUGAUCGCGCCGAGCGGCGUUGCUGCAGAGACACGGGACUCACCGGCCUCCUUCAGCUGAUCCUUGUCGUAGUGAAGAGCCUCGUACGCCGCCAUGCUGAUCCUGUUCACUGUGAUCUGCAGCUUCUCAGGGAUGGGCUGCUGACUGCACACACACACACACACACACACACACUUAAACAAAGACUCACGGAAUAAAAUCCACACCAGAUUGAGACUACAGUGUCUUUUAAGAAUAUAUUCUCAUUUGUAUCUCAAACUUCAGCCUGAAAACCUGACUCUGUGCCUCUUUGUGAACCCUGUAUGAGUCACACCAAACUCCACAGAAGAAAAGAGCGUUUUUAACAUCACAGUUCACAGCAGUUGUUGAUCCACUCCAGCCUUCGUCGCUAAGUUCAAAUGUUCAAAUGUGAUAUUCUGUGACUCUGUGUUUGAAAACUUUAAUUCAGAUUUACCUCAGAGGCACAAAGUGACCACACGGAGCAGCAGUGGACCGACAGUUCCUGUGUCACGACGUGCUGAAAAUCGCUGAUUUUCUCUAUGGACUUUGGUGGUUUAGAAACUGCAGAUUCUCGUCUGUCUCACUGUGAGUUUACGUGCUAAACAUCUUAAGCUGGUGCAGAUCGAUUAGGCGAGGCUUUAAUCUUUGGUUCUCAGGGCAGGGGGCGCUCACAGGUCACACAAAAACCUGAACUAUCUCUGUAAAACCCUUCAGGUAGGUCAUGUGUUUGUCUGCAGGCUGAGGAGCAGCUGUGACUGGUUCUCACUCGUUGA